UCUUUUGCCCUUCCAUUCUCUGCCUUUUUACUUGAGUACCUCAGACAGGUGUUCGUCUCCUGUGGGACUCCGCGUGGCUCUGUUUCUUUGCUGCACGAACAGAGAGCAUAGAGAGUUCAAGAACGAUCGAGAGAGAGAGAGAGGUGAUAUUCAGAGGCUUUGCGUCUUUGCUCCAGAGAAGUACAGAGAGGUGAAGAACAACAAUAGGGAGAGAAGACCCAUUUCAAUUCGAUCCGUUUCGACUUCCGCUAAGCUACGCUCUCUUUGGUUAUGUUUUCAGAUGGUGAUGGGAGUCUGAAUGAAAGUGAUCAGAAAAGGCUACGUCCUCCAGUCCUAUUUAGAGUGAGAAGCCACUAGCAAUCUACUCCAGAAGCAAGGUAACUCUCUUUGAUACCUGCUCAUACCUAUUUGAUGGCGUAUCCUCCAGAAGCAACUCAUGCAUCAAAGUUGCAAUGGACUUUGUCUCACCUGAAAAUAUCGGCGAGUGCUUUCACUUGAUAGAAGCAUUCCGUACACUUCCGGAAAAUCAUAGGGCUAAAGCGGACAAAUUGGAGGAACUGGGGAGUUUGGUUUCUCUGAAAUGGCAUUGGCUGAAUCAUACGCUGAACAAAUGGAUUUACCAGAGUUAGGUUAUGAAUAUCGAGCCAUCGUUGGGAUACCUUCAGAGCAGUUUAAACAUCUUAUCAUACAUCU